rnacentral:rRNA from 1 species
ACGAACGCUGGCGGCGUGCCUAAUACAUGCAAGUCGAACGCUUCUUUUUCCACCGGAGCUUGCUCCACCGGAAAAAGAGGAGUGGCGAACGGGUGAGUAACACGUGGGUAACCUGCCCAUCAGAAGGGGAUAACACUUGGAAACAGGUGCUAAUACCGUAUAACAAUCGAAACCGCAUGGUUUUGAUUUGAAAGGCGCUUUCGGGUGUCGCUGAUGGAUGGACCCGCGGUGCAUUAGCUAGUUGGUGAGGUAACGGCUCACCAAGGCGACGAUGCAUAGCCGACCUGAGAGGGUGAUCGGCCACAUUGGGACUGAGACACGGCCCAAACUCCUACGGGAGGCAGCAGUAGGGAAUCUUCGGCAAUGGACGAAAGUCUGACCGAGCAACGCCGCGUGAGUGAAGAAGGUUUUCGGAUCGUAAAACUCUGUUGUUAGAGAAGAACAAGGAUGAGAGUAACUGUUCAUCCCUUGACGGUAUCUAACCAGAAAGCCACGGCUAACUACGUGCCAGCAGCCGCGGUAAUACGUAGGUGGCAAGCGUUGUCCGGAUUUAUUGGGCGUAAAGCGAGCGCAGGCGGUUUCUUAAGUCUGAUGUGAAAGCCCCCGGCUCAACCGGGGAGGGUCAUUGGAAACUGGGAGACUUGAGUGCAGAAGAGGAGAGUGGAAUUCCAUGUGUAGCGGUGAAAUGCGUAGAUAUAUGGAGGAACACCAGUGGCGAAGGCGGCUCUCUGGUCUGUAACUGACGCUGAGGCUCGAAAGCGUGGGGAGCAAACAGGAUUAGAUACCCUGGUAGUCCACGCCGUAAACGAUGAGUGCUAAGUGUUGGAGGGUUUCCGCCCUUCAGUGCUGCAGCUAACGCAUUAAGCACUCCGCCUGGGGAGUACGACCGCAAGGUUGAAACUCAAAGGAAUUGACGGGGGCCCGCACAAGCGGUGGAGCAUGUGGUUUAAUUCGAAGCAACGCGAAAACCUUACCAAGUCUUGACAUCCUGAUGACGGUUCCUUAACCGGAACUUUUCUUCGGAACAUCAGAGACAGGUGGUGCAUGGUUGUCGUCAGCUCGUGUCGUGAGAUGUUGGGUUAAGUCCCGCAACGAGCGCAACCCUUAUUGUUAGUUGCCAUCAUUUAGUUGGGCACUCUAGCAAGACUGCCGGUGACAAACCGGAGGAAGGUGGGGAUGACGUCAAAUCAUCAUGCCCCUUAUGACCUGGGCUACACACGUGCUACAAUGGGAAGUACAACGAGUCGCAAAGUCGCGAGGCUAAGCUAAUCUCUUAAAGCUUCUCUCAGUUCGGAUUGUAGGCUGCAACUCGCCUACAUGAAGCCGGAAUCGCUAGUAAUCGCGGAUCAGCACGCCGCGGUGAAUACGUUCCCGGGCCUUGUACACACCGCCCGUCACACCACGAGAGUUUGUAACACCCGAAGUCGGUGAGGUAACCUUUUGGAGCCAGCCGCCUAAGGUGGGAUAGAUGAUUGGGGUG